CACACACACACACACACACACACACACACACACACACACACACACACACACACACACACACACACACACACACACACACACACACACACACACACACACACACACACACACACACACACACACACUCACCACACACAUGCACACAUACAUUGCCGGAAUGAUCCAGCUUUGUUGCAUUGCUCGGCAAAAAUGCUCUGUUCCUUCUCCCCUGUCUCUCGUCCACAUUGAUACAAAUCAUAAAUUGAUAAGGUACUAAGAUGUAGAAUGUCUCCAUCAAAUCCAAUAAGAUACAACAGUGUCAUCUUUGGCAGGAUAGAUGGAUUUUCAAGGAAGAGUGGGAGCUGAUCAAGGGGUCGAAAAUGUAGAUAUUGCCAGAUGUAUGUUCACUGUCCGAGGAACAGGCCGUGGAAGCUUAAUUGCUGGGUAACGUGUCCAUAACCAGAGAUUCAGUAUGUGGAGGACCUGCUUUAUCAGGAGAAUCAUCUGGAAUCUGGAAACACUGGCAAUGGGGUCACUGUUCCUGACAUCCCAUAUGCCCCCUGUCUACUGGGAAUCUUGAUGUGCUGCAACGUCAAGUGAACCCAACCCCUGGACAUAUACAGCUCUGGAGAAAAUGAAGAGACCACUGCAAAAUGAUCCGUUUCUCUGGUUUUACUAUUUAUAGCUCUCUGUUUGGGUCCACAUUUCACAGUGGGUGCGAGACACUGUGGCUUGUAGGCCUCUCCAGGUCUCACACCCACUGUGACAUUUGGUUGUUCCUGGAAGAAAACUGGCUUCCUUCUGCUCUGACAAUGUUCCCCAACUCUGAGGAUUGGUUUCUCCAGCAGGACAAUG